UUUCCGUAGGUGAACCUGCGGAAGGAUCAUUCAUAAUAAGUGUUUUAUGGCACUUUUUUAAAUCCAUAUCCACCUUGUGUGCAAUGUCAGGGUUGAUUUUUCUCUCAAGAGGAUCAACCCCAAACAUCAACUAUAUCUCAACUCUUUGUCUGAAAAAUAUUAUAAAUAAAACAAUUCAAAAUACAACUUUCAACAACGGAUCUCUUGGCUCUC
rnacentral:misc_RNA from 1 species